GUGAGCUGAUGUCUCUUUGCUUCUUUUGGGACCAAAAACGAAAAGCCGAAUCCCGGAUCCCACCAACAUUUGCAAGGCAUCGGGGUGGCAUCUGAGGCCUAACCCAAAUCCUUCUUUGGGGUGAAGUGGAAACCUGCAGCCCUUGAUGGCAGACCCUGUAAAGAGAUGUUGAAGAGAGCAGAUGAGGAACAGAAGAAGAAUUGCCCAAAGACACCUGGGCAUCCUAGGCAGGAACUGAUAAUCAAGCAAGAAAACAGAAUUGAAAAUCCAAGUGGACAGGAAUGGACGUCAAAUGAAAGAACUUAUGCAGUGGAGUAACCACAUAAAUGCAUGUCUGCUCAGUAGAAUUCAUUUAACUCACACGGGAGAAACCAUAUCCAUCUAUGGAAGGUGGAAAGAGCUUUGGUCAGAGUGCUCACUUUACGUCCCAUCAAAGAACACACACUGGAGAGAAAUCAUAUAACUGCAUGGAAUGUGGAAAGAGUUUCAGUCACAACCAAAACCUCAACAUACAUCAAAGAACUCACA